CUCAAAUUACAUCCCUAUGCUCAGUCCACCAUGGCCAAUCGCCCUUGUCCAAAAUUAGCAUUCAAGUUCUUUGGUCCGUUCACAGUGGAACAGUGCAUUGGUACUCGAGCAUAUAAACUGACACUGCCAGCCGAUAGUCGCAUCCACCCGGUAUUCCACGUCUCACAGCUGAAGCCGUUCACACCAGAGUAUUCUCCGGUCUUCGCUGAGCUUCCUCGAACACCGGACCUCACUGCUGUGCCACUACAGCCUGAGGUGAUACUGGAUCGCCGAAUGGUCAAGAAAGGCAACACUUCCAUCAUCCAGGUUCGUGUACAAUGGUCAUCACUCUCUCCGGAUUCUGCAACCUGGGAGGACUACACGGUGCUUCGUCAUCGAUACCCGAUAGCCCCUUAUUGGGAUGAUGCCGCUUCCGCUCAAGAGGGGGCAAUUGUCACACCUGCUCCCACCUGA
rnacentral:rRNA from 1 species